AACGAACGCUGGCGGCAUGCCUAACACAUGCAAGUCGAACGAGACCUUCGGGUCUAGUGGCGCACGGGUGCGUAACGCGUGGGAACCUGCCCUUAGGUUCGGAAUAACUCCCCGAAAGGGGUGCUAAUACCGGAUAAUGUCUUCGGACCAAAGAUUUAUCGCCUUUGGAUGGGCCCGCGUUGGAUUCGCUAGUUGGUAGGGUAAAAGCAUACCAAGGCGACGAUCCAUAGCUGGUCUGAGAGGAUGAUCAGCCACACUGGGACUGAGACACGGCCCAGACUCCUACGGGAGGGAGCAGAGGGGAAUAUUGGACAAGGGGCGAAAGUCUGAUCCAGCAAUGCCGCGUGAGUGAUGAAGGCCUUAGGGUUGUAAAGCUCUUUUACCCGGGAUGAUAAUGACAGUACCGGGAGAAUAAGCUCCGGCUAACUCCGUG
rnacentral:rRNA from 1 species